rnacentral:lncRNA from 1 species
UAACAAAAAGUAAGCCAAGUGACCUCUUGUUUGUCUCCUGUGAUAUAGAUGACCCUGGAGAAGCUCGGGGGAAUAUCUGGGCUUUCCACUGGACUGUCACAGUCUUCAUCAUCAUCAGUGUCCUACAGAAACACAGAAGCUCUUUAUGAACUUAACUGGACAUGAUGGUGUGAUCAGAACAUUAAACAUUUACCUCUUCUGUGAUGUGGACCCAUUUGUGCAGCAGAGCGACCAGUGUGUAGUACAUGAGCAGCAGGACCAGGGGGUUGAUGAAGUCGGGCCAGCUGACGUGUGCGUGUAAACCAAGGCUGUACGGCCUCGACGGGUGUAGUUGACCUGGCGUAGACGUCGUCAGGCGGCACGAACUGCUGCGAAAUGGGCAGUUGAUACAGGUACAGAAGCAACAGGUGUCCCGCGCUGAACAUGGCCAUCAUCACACACAGAGAGCUGAAGAGGAGCAGGCUGAUGGAGCGACUGAAGACCCACCACCAAAUCAGGCCCAGAAACGCCCCGAAAUACAGACUGGAGGGAUGUAGGCGAAGGGGAUUUGCAAGAAGCACUGCAGCGCCAAGAAGGUCACACUCAUGUAGAUGAUUAUCCGCAAGAAC